GGGGUAGAGGGGGAGCAUUGCUCCUUGUUCCCCUUAGACAGGAACCGUGCAGCCCCCACCGCAGCCAAAAAGUGAAAAGACGGUGAGGGCUGCCGCACAGGAAGGGGAGCAUAGUAUUAGUAUGCAGUUAGACACCAGGCACAGCAGACCCCCGUGUUCAGAGCAUUCCCACCCGCUACCUCAUCUGUGCCCUCGUACGAAAAUAACCUGGGGGGUGGGGGUACAAAAUGAAACAUGAGGAGAGUCAUGCAGAUACUGCAGAGAGCAACAUGUGACAGGAACUCCAUCCUUCCACAACGUUCCUUAUUCUACUCAAAGAACGGUGAGAGCCUGGGGGGGGGCAAGUUCAAUGCCAGCUAGCCGCAUGAAGGACGGUGCUGUUUAUAAACGGGCCCGGUGCCGUCCAAAAACAACAAGCUGAAGUCUGUGGAAAACAGCCAUUUGUACCGGCCUAGUGCCGCCCGGUGCCAGUCCAGCGCCGCUCAGUCCAAACAGGCGGUGACGUGCAGCAGCUCUGAUCGGCCCAUUGUCUGCCCCUGACCUCCGCUAGGCAAACUGCGGCCGCCCAGAUCAAAAGGCCUUGCUGUGUUUUCAGGAAGCUAAACGGCGCCUGAAUGCUCCCAAUCACACAGAUCCUCCUCCUCCAUUUCGAAGGAGUCGAGUUUUUGACUUAAGGGAGGAGACGGGCAUUCCGCGCCGUUUCCGGGAACGCAGGGCGACAUCGCUGCAGCGUAAGGACCGGCACCUGUCAGCGCACUUUCUCCCCAAAGGAAGCAGAGCAGACAGCCAGCGAAGCUGACGCAUGUUGCAUUGAAGUGCGGCUACAAGAUGCUUCAGUAGCAAGGCAACGACGAGACAGCAAGACCAGAGCAUCCCGGGUAACGACAGUCACCGACGUCUGUCAGUUUGAUGAUUAGCACAGCUCAAACAAACCAGGAGAACAAAACCCAAAACAAACGGCACAAAACAAAGGAGUAACACCAGUGCCCAGUGUUACCCAGAUUUCUGCUCAACACAGUCACAGCCCCCCCCCUCCCCGAACGCAAAGAGGUUUAUAAAGUAAAGGAUAAGUUGCCACCUUUAAAAGGAAAAAGAAAACAGCAAUAAUUCAGACGGAGAAAGUGGAGGGUGUACAGGAAACAGCUGUCGUACACAGGCUUCCCCAGUAAGCAUUAGUGCACCAUGCCACCUGCUAUGCCUAGGUCUGCUUUACCGUGGGGGGAGGGGUUUGAGGCUAGCAGUCAUAGCAACACUGUCGGCUGACAACGAGGCCAGGCUGAAGGGGCAGGGGAUCCUCCCCCAGCUGAGGGGGGUGGGGGCUGUCAACACCCCAGGGUCUCACUGCCCAUGUUGGCACGCGCACACACACACACACACACACACACACACACACACACACACACACACACACACACACACACACACACACACACACACACACACACACACACACACACACACACACACACACACACACAGCUAUUUAUAGGCACAGCAAGGUAUGCAGAGAUGCAGGCAUCUUAGACAGACGCCCGUAAGAAAAUCAACGUGGGAGAGAUGUAGGCGACCCGUGAUAUAGAAACAAAGGGCCCUCUGUGGUGCACGGGGGAGGGGCAUCAAGGUCACCCGCCUCAGGCACGCCAACGGUAGAGGCCCCUGGGAAAGGGGGGCAGGGGGGGGCAGUGUGCGGGUGUUUGUGUGGGCGGCCUGCGUACACAUGCUGAAUUUUCCGCCCGAUAUGUGAAAAGACCCCGUACUGCAGCUGAUAACGCUGAGGGUCCAGCACUGACACAUCACUCUAACAUUAUGUCAACUUUUCACGCCAUAUUUACAACUAGGACUAUAUUCGCGGCGAGAAUAUAAGGAUUGAACAACCCAAAAGACAAAGGAGUUUGGCUUGCAGGACAUACAGGCGGAUCCCGACCUGUAAGUGAGCGCAAGGUGAGUCAGUCUGAUAUGCUCUGACACCCUGUAUUGAUGGUUUUUAAAUUUUGAUUUUGUCAUCGUUCCAAUGACUGGGCUAGUUUCAUAAGGUCGGUCAUGAACACUUUCUCAAUCAGCCACCGAACUUCCUAUGUAACAUAACGCCGCAGGCCAGGGGAAAACAGAGAAAACGCGAUCAGGAAUUACUAUUUCCAGGCCCUUUAGCUAGCUGGACAACAAUGGCUGAUGGGAAUGAUUUUUUUUUUACCUUAAAGUGACCAUACAGAGGCAAAAUUUUGCUUCUCUGCCACGAGUGCAAAAAAUCCACAUCAGCAACAUCAGCGGGGAUAACUAUUCAACAUUAAAUACAUACAGAUGCCCAACAGCCAUGGAGCAAAGAAUGAGAAUCUUUAACAAUGUUAACAGCCGUGUCCCCGAGGACCAGGUUGAGAAACACUGGGCCAACGCGAGCCAACGUGCCCACGUGCUAUGAGAGGCUGACGGUACUUCUGAAUCACGUCUUAAACCUUUGCUCACCACAUGCUUUUCAUUAAACGGCCCCUUUGUUUCCUUGAGAAAUGUAAACAUUACAGAAAGACAAACCAGGCUAUUUACCAGGAGGUAUCGGCAAGAAUCGAAGCGAGAGAUAAAUCUGAAGCCGUUUCCGGCUUUACCCGUCUUCGAGCCCGUAGGGGUCCUACAAACGGCUCCAAGCCCAACGGAACCCGGCACCGAGUGAGCGACCCGGCGAGCCUGCUCAGCUUGGCGCCGACUCACACGCAGGGUGAGGAAACCAGACAGACAUGGGCACAGGGACAAACAGAUACAACAGAUUUCGCUCUUAUUUGAAACACAAACUUAUGUUUAUUUACCCAGAAAGAGAGUACUGUAAAAUCAGUAGUGCCAUGUAAAAUCACUUCAAAGUGCAGAGGCUAUAAUGCCUCCAGGCCUGCGCGCUCUGAAUAUCAAAAUAAAAAUGUAAAAAUAAA